AUUGAACGCUGGCGGAAUGCUUUACACAUGCAAGUCGAACGGUAGAGGGGGCAACCCCUCGAGAGUGGCGAACGGGUGAGUAAUAUAUCGGAACGUGCCCAGUCGUGGGGGAUAACGUAGCGAAAGUUACGCUAAUACCGCAUACGAUCUAAGGAUGAAAGCGGGGGAUCGCAAGACCUCGCGCGAUUGGAGCGGCCGAUAUCAGAUUAGGUAGUUGGUGGGGUAAAGGCUCACCAAGCCAACGAUCUGUAGCUGGUCUGAGAGGACGACCAGCCACACUGGAACUGAGACACGGUCCAGACUCCUACGGGAGGCAGCAGUGGGGAAUUUUGGACAAUGGACGCAAGUCUGAUCCAGCCAUUCCGCGUGCAGGAUGAAGGCCCUCGGGUUGUAAACUGCUUUUGUACGGAACGAAAAGGUCUCUCUUAAUACGGGGGACUCAUGACGGUACCGUAAGAAUAAGCACCGGUUAGCUACGUGCCAGCCGCCGCAGUAA
rnacentral:rRNA from 1 species